rnacentral:sRNA from 1 species
UACUGUCGUACCACCGCUAUUUGUUAUCUAAGUUAAUGCCGUUUUUAUCUCAGUAACACCCGCGUUAGUGACCCAUAGGGGGUUUUCGACGCAAACAUUAAUUUUUAAGCAAAUUAGCUUUGGAGAAAUAUCAUGUCAAAAGUAACUGGUACAGUUAAGUGGUUCAACGAGUCUAAAGGUUUUGGUUUCAUCGAGCAGCAAGCUGGCGAAGACGUAUUCGUACACUUCCGCGCUAUUCAAGGUGACGGCUUCAAAACUUUAGCAGAAGGCCAACAGGUUGAGUUCGAAAUCGAGCAAGGCCCUAAAGGCGCUCAAGCUGCUAACGUUACUAAAGUAUAAUUAUAUACUUUAAACGUUUCUAAGAAAGCCGCUCAAUGAGCGGCUUUUUUUAU